rnacentral:rRNA from 1 species
UACGUAGGGUCCGAGCGUUGUCCGGAAUUAUUGGGCGUAAAGAGCUCGUAGGCGGCUUGUCACGUCGGGUGUGAAAGCCCGGGGCUUAACCCCGGGUCUGCAUUCGAUACGGGCUGGCUAGAGUGUGGUAGGGGAGACUGGAAUUCCUGGUGUAGCGGUGAAAUGCGCGGAUAUCAGGAGGAACACCGGUGGCGAAGGCGGUUCUCUGGGACGGUACUGACGCUGAGACGCGAAAGCGUGGGGAGCGAACAGG